rnacentral:rRNA from 1 species
UACGGAGGGUGCAAGCGUUAUCCGGAUUCACUGGGUUUAAAGGGUGCGUAGGCGGGUAAGUAAGUCCGUGGUGAAAUCUCUGAGCUUAACUCAGAAACUGCCGUGGAUGCUAUUUGCCUUGAAUAUUGUGGAGGUGAGCGGAAUAUGUCAUGUAGCGGUGAAAUGCUUAGAUAUGACAUAGAACACCAAUUGCGAAGGCAGCUCACUACACAAUCAUUGACGCUGAGGCACGAAAGCGUGGGGAUCAAACAGG